UAAGGAAUAUUGGACAAUGGUCGGAAGACUGAUCCAGCCAUGCCGCGUGAAGGACGAAGGCGCUCUGCGUUGUAAACUUCUUUUGGACGGGAACAAAACCAUCCCUGCGGGGGUGUCUGAGGGUACCGUCAGAAUAAGCACCGGCUAACUCCGUGCCAGCAGCCGCGGUAAUACGGAGGGUGCAAGCGUUAUCCGGAAUCACUGGGUUUAAAGGGUGCGUAGGCGGUUCGUUAAGUCAGUUGUGAAAUUCCCUCGCUCAACGAGUGGGACUGCGAUUGAUACUGAUGGACUUGAAUCAGGUUGAGGUAGGCGGAAUGAGACAUGUAGCGGUGAAAUGCAUAGAUAUGUCUUAGAACACCGAUUGCGAAGGCAGCUUGCUGGACCUGUAUUGACGCUGAGG
rnacentral:rRNA from 1 species